rnacentral:rRNA from 1 species
AACGAACGCUGGCGGCAGGCUUAACACAUGCAAGUCGAACGCAUCGCAAGAUGAGUGGCAGACGGGUGAGUAACGCGUGGGAAUCUACCCAGAUCUACGGAACAACAGUUGGAAACGACUGCUAAUACCGUAUACGCCCUACGGGGGAAAGAUUUAUCGGAUUUGGAUGAGCCCGCGUAAGAUUAGCUAGUUGGUGGGGUAAUGGCCUACCAAGGCGACGAUCUUUAGCUGGUCUGAGAGGAUGAUCAGCCACACUGGGACUGAGACACGGCCCAGACUCCUACGGGAGGCAGCAGUGGGGAAUAUUGGACAAUGGGCGCAAGCCUGAUCCAGCCAUGCCGCGUGAGUGAUGAAGGCCUUAGGGUUGUAAAGCUCUUUCACCGAUGAAGAUAAUGACGGUAGUCGGAGAAGAAGCCCCGGCUAACUUCGUGCCAGCAGCCGCCGUAAAAC